AAGUCGUAACAAGGUUAAACAACCCCGUGAACUUUCAGCCUGCUCUUGCAUGCAAGCAGUGGCAUGGCUUCCCCAAGUGGUCAGUGAAUAACAGUGUCACUGGCUGUGUAAGGAUAACGCCUCACGGUUGCUAGAGGUCGAUCACCGGCCGGCAGACAUGUCACAGGGUCACCACCCUUAAUAACCCCACUUUCAAUGCCCCGCCUAGUGGUAACGCGCUAGGUAACAAAAACCGAACAACUGUUAAUAAUGGAUAUCUUGGUUCUC
rnacentral:misc_RNA from 1 species